ACGGGGGGAUAACAGCUGGAAACGGCUGCUAAUACCGCAUAAGUGCACAGAGCUGCAUGGCUCGGUGUGAAAAACUCCGGUGGUAUGGGAUGGGCCCGCGUCUGAUUAGGCAGUUGGCGGGGUAACGGCCCACCAAACCGACGAUCAGUAGCCGGCCUGAGAGGGCGACCGGCCACAUUGGGACUGAGACACGGCCCAAACUCCUACGGGAGGCAGCAGUGGGGAAUAUUGCACAAUGGGGGAAACCCUGAUGCAGCGACGCCGCGUGAGCGAAGAAGUAUUUCGGUAUGUAAAGCUCUAUCAGCAGGGAAGAUAAUGACGGUACCUGACUAAGAAGCCCCGGCUAACUACGUGCCAGCAGCCGCGGUAAUACGUAGGGGGCAAGCGUUAUCCGGAUUUACUGGGUGUAAAGGGAGCGUAGACGGCAAGGCAAGUCUGAUGUGAAAACCCAGAGCUUAACCCUGGGACUGCAUUGGAAACUGUCUGGCUCGAGUGCCGGAGAGGUAAGCGGAAUUCCUAGUGUAGCGGUGAAAUGCGUAGAUAUUAGGAAGAACACCAGUGGCGAAGGCGGCUUACUGGACGGUAACUGACGUUGAGGCUCGAAAGCGUGGGGAGCAAACAGGAUUAGAUACCCUGGUAGUCCACGCCGUAAACG
rnacentral:rRNA from 1 species